CUUCAUCUGCAGUGAGUAUAACUUUAGUUUCUUCUUUUUUAAGCCACGGCCCCACCGGAGACGACGACUACUGCAGCGCCCACUACCACCUCGCCCCCAGAGACAGUGACUACUGCAGCACCCACUAACGCCACUGCAGCAGCAGCCGUCUUCACCACUGAAGAGGACGAGGAGUUUUCUACAGACGGCUUCCCCUCAGAGGCAGACACCGCCACCCUGAUGCCCAGUAAGUACUGAGCCGUCAAGCAGAGUCGUUGCCUUGUCU